GGGGUCGAUUUGGAUUCGACGCUGGUAACAAAGCCCAAGGUGCAUGUCGUGAUGACAGCCAAUCACGUUAAUCCAAAGCUGUACUUGAAUAGUCGCAAACGACGAUUCUUACGCUUUAGCAGCUUAAUCGCUGCUAACGGUCUGUAACAAGGUGCCAGUACCGCGUUAGAGCCCGUCAUACAGAACUGGAUCGCAGCAAAGUAAGCCUGGUGCGGCGCUGCUAAAACUCUACAGGAUCGCGCUUUUCGUCCUGCCUGUUGGGCUGAUAAGCGUUAAAUUAAUAAACGGACCUAAACAUGUAGAGCCGAGGAUGGAGUGCUGGCGGACGGGGGUUCAAAUCCCCCCGGCUCCACCA
rfam:Cellvibrio sp. BR genomic scaffold O59_Scaffold4, whole genome shotgun sequence.